rnacentral:rRNA from 1 species
AAGGGGCAGUAAUACAUGAACAACCUACCCUGGGGAUGGGCAUAGCCGGUCUAACGGCCGGGUAAUUCCCAGAGAUUCGGCGAGGAGGCAUCUCUUUGCCGGGAAAUGAAUUUCGCCUCGGGAGGGGUUCAUGAGCUAUCAGCUUGUUGGCGGGGUAAUGGCCCACCAAGGCUUAGACGGCUAGCGGGUGUGAGAGCACGACCCGCGCCACUGGCACUGAGACACUGGCCAGACACCUACGGGUGGCUGCAGUCGAGGAUCUUCGUCAAUGGGCGCAAGCCUGAACGAGCGAUGCCGCGUGAGCGAUGAAGGCCUUCGGGUUGUAAAGCUCAAAAGAAGCGAGAAAGGGAAACUUGAUCAAGCUUCAGUAAGCUCGGGCUAAGUUCGUGCCAGCAGCCGCGGUAAGACGAACCGAGCGAACGUUGUUCGGAAUCACUGGGCUUAAAGGGCGCGUAGGCGGGUGCUCAAGUCUGUGGUGAAAUCCUCCGGCUCAACCGGAGAACUGCCAUGGAUACUGGGUGUCUCGAGGGUGGUAGGGGUAUGCGGAACUAUUGGUGGAGCGGUGAAAUGCGUUGA